GUACCAUGUUGUUGACUUUCAGAAUAAAAAAUACGUUGUUUGCUAUGACUUUGUCCCAGGGCAUGUGCAUUAAGCUUCCACAUAUAAUUUAUAUCACUUAUUCCUUAAUAACAUUGUCAUGGGUUAGAUGGGACAUGUAUUUUUUUCAACUUUAUUUUUUACAUACAAUAAAGUGCAUCAAUUUUUAAGUGUACAGUUUUAUGACUUCCAGCUACAGUCACCACUGCUAUCAAGAUAUAAGGAUAUUUCUGUCACCCUAAAAAUUCCCUUAUCUCUUUCCCAGUCUGUCAUUCUUACAUUUAGCCCCAGGCAACCACUCAUCUGCUUCCUGUCAUUAUAGAGUUUUCUUAUUUAGAGUUUUAUAUAAAUGGAAUUACAUUUUACACACUGUCUUAUGUCUGGCUUGUUCACUCAGCAUAAUUAUUUUAAAUCUUAUCUACCUACCUGCAUACCUACCUAUCUACCUACCUAUUUUUUGAGAUAGGAUCUUGCUUGUCACCCAAGCUGGAGUGUAGUGGCAUGAUCAUAGCUCACUGUAACUUAGAACUCCUGGGCUCAAGCAAAUUCUCCCACCUCAGCCUCCUGAGUAGCUGGGACUGUAGGCAUGUGCCACCUUGCUAGGCUCAUUAAACAUUUUUUUUUCCUUUUUUUGGUAGAGACUGGGUCUUGCUGUGUUUCUCAGGCUGGGUUUGAACUCCGGGUGUUAAUUGAGGCCUCAGCCUCUCAAAGUACUGGGAUUAUAGGCAUGAGCCAGCACGCCUGGCCAGCGUAAUCAUUCUGAGGUACAUUCAUGUUGUUGGCAUGUAUCAGCAGGCUGGUCCUUUUUCUUGCUCUGUGGUGUUCCAGUGUUGCAUGUACUACAGUGUGUUUAGCCAUUCUGCCAUUCUGCCGGUGAUGGGCUUUUGGGUUGUUUCCAAUUUGGGGCUGCUGUAAGUAGAGCUGCGAUGAACAUUUAGGUACAAAUCUUUGUGCAGCUAUGUUUUCAUCUCUUCUGAGUAAAUAUCUAGGAGUAGAGUUUUUGCAUCUUAAGGAAUAUGUAUUUUUAACCCCCUUUUAUUGAUCAGGUGGAGCUUAGAGUGUUGGAGUUGACCAAGAUCUCACAGCCAGAAAGAUAUCAAGCAUGGAUCAACAUUUGAUAUUCCUUUUCUGUUUCCUCUUCAAGAUUCAUUCUAUUAGACCAGUGAUUUCACACUUUUAGAGCACCAAGACUCUUUUUAAAAUAAAAUAUUGUUAGUCCGAGUGUGAUGGCUCAUGCCUAUAGUCUUAGCACUUUGGGAGACUGAGGUAGGAGUAUUGCUUGAGCUCAGGACUUGGAUACCAGUCUGGACUACAAAUCAAGACCCCCCCCCACACUACCAAAAAAAAAAAAAAAAAA
rnacentral:lncRNA from 1 species